UACGUAGGUGGCAAGCGUUGUCCGGAUUACUGGGCGUAAAGAGCGCGCAGGCGUCGUUCAAGUCGCGUGUGAAAGCCCCCGGCUCAACUGGGGAGGGUCAACUCGUGACUGAUCGACUCGAAGGCAGGAGAGGGUAGUGGAAUUCCCGAGGUGUGGUCGGUGAAAUGCGUAGAUAUCUGGAGGAAUACCGGUGGCGAAGGCGGCAUCCUGGACCGAGAUUGACACUGAUGAGCGAAAGCCAGGGGAGCAAACGGG
rnacentral:rRNA from 1 species